UACGGGGGGGGGCAAGCGUUGUUCGGAAUUACUGGGCGUAAAGGGCUCGUAGGCGGCCAACUAAGUCGGACGUGAAAUCCCCAGGCUCAACCUGGGAACUGCGUCCGAUACUGGAUGGCUUGAAUUCGGGAGAGGGAUGCAGAAUUCCAGGUGUAGCGGUGAAAUGCGUAGAUAUCUGGAGGAAUACCGGUGGCGAAGGCGGCAUCCUGGACCGACAUUGACGCUGAGGAGCGAAAAGCUAGGGGAGCAAACGGG
rnacentral:rRNA from 1 species